AGAGAGGUUGAGUAAGUCACUUCGGCGGUUGGCGAGCUGCAGUGAGCCAGUGUGGUAGAACCGCUCGUAGGAAGUGGUUCUGUCUCGAGAGGCUGAGGUGCGAUUUGUGUCAUAAUAUUCACUUUUUUUUUUUACCUUUUUGCCUUUUUUGUUUUCCCUCUCCACCUUUGGCUGCACUUCAUCCACCCACCCCCCCUUGCAUAUCCAGCUCGGGCAACACUCUAAUGAACCCGAGGAAAACAUUAAAACGAAGCUGAUUACGAAAAAAAAAAUUAAUAAAAAGUAACUCAAAUUACAAAUUACAGAGAAUUCAUCGCCCAUCCAUUCAAAUUCCAUAAAGGUUCUGCUCAUCGAUUUUGAAGCCAUAGCAUCAUGAAG